rnacentral:piRNA from 1 species
GCCUAUAACCUCCACUGUCCCAGAACUUC